rnacentral:rRNA from 1 species
UACGGGGGGAGCAAGCGUUGUUCGGAUUUACUGGGCGUAAAGGGCGCGUAGGCGGCGCAACAAGUCACUUGUGAAAUCUCCGGGCUUAACCCGGAGCGGCCAAGUGAUACUGUCGUGCUAGAGUGCGGAAGGGGCUACUGGAAUUCUCGGUGUAGCGGUGAAAUGCGUAGAUAUCGAGAGGAACACCUGUGGCGAAGGCGGCCUGCUGGGCAGUUGCUGACACUGAGGCGCGACAGCGUGGGGAGCAAACAGG